rnacentral:pre_miRNA from 11 species
UAAUGGUUCUGGUGCGAACGGACGAUAGUCUUCAGCGGCCGUGCAUUUGAUAGAAUUGGUCGGUGGGACUUUCGUCCGUUUGUAACCGCCGUUUGCGACGA